rnacentral:rRNA from 1 species
AUUGAACGCUGGCGGCAGGCCUAACACAUGCAAGUCGAGCGAUCGUCGGACGGGUGUGUAUUGUAUGUGGACUGUCCGAUAUAGGGGGAUAACUACUGUAAACGGUGUCUAUUACCGCAUACUCUCUCAUUAUCCAUAUGGGAUUAGCUAGUAGGUGGGGUAAUGGCUCACCUAGGCGCCGCUCUCGAGCUGGUGUGAGAGGAUGACCAGCAACACUGGGACGGAGACACGGCCCAGACUCCGACGGAGGCAGCAGUGGGGAAUAUUGCAAAAUGGGCGCAAGCCUGAUGCAGCCAUGCCGCGUGUAUGAAGAAGGCCCUAGGGUUGUAAAGUACUUUCAGUCGGGAGGCGUUACCCACAGAAGAAGCACCGGCUAACUCCGUGCCAGCCGCCGCGGUAAUUC